GCUGGGAUUGCUCAGUCGGUAGAGCAUGAGACUCUUAAUCUCAGGAUCAUGAGUUUGUACCCCAUGUUAGGCA